UUUCAGUGCAGUUGUGAAUUUUCGUGUCUAAUAUUUGACCGUCCGUUUUAUUUAAAAUUUUUUUAGAUUAAUAUUUUUGUUGUUAUUAGACGAUAAAACAUGAAUAAUAAAUUAUGCAUGACUUCUUUUUAUAAGUUUUUAAAUAAGUCGGAUUGUUAAAUGUUGGACACGGAAACUCAUGACUACACUUAGA
rfam:Oryza meridionalis cultivar OR44 (W2112) chromosome 8, whole genome shotgun sequence.